rnacentral:rRNA from 1 species
UACGAAGGAUCCAAGCGUUAUCCGGAUUUAUUGGGUUAAAGGGUGCGUAGGCGGGCUAUUAAGUCAGUGGUGAAAGCCCCAAGCUUAACUUGGGAAUUGCCAUUGAUACUGAUGGUCUUGAGUACACUUGAAGUGGGCGGAAUGUGUCAUGUAGCGGUGAAAUGCUUAGAUAUGACACAGAACACCGAUUGCGAAAGGCAGC